rnacentral:rRNA from 1 species
UACGGGGGGGGCAAGCGUUGUUCGGAAUUACUGGGCGUAAAGGGCUCGUAGGUGGCCAACUAAGUCGGACGUGAAAUCCCUCAGCUUAACUGGGGAACUGCGUCCGAUACUGGAUGGCUUGAGUUUGGGAGAGGGAUGCGGAAUUCCAGGUGUAGCGGUGAAAUGCGUAGAGAUCGGGAAGAACACCAGUGGCGAAAGCGCUCUACUGGGCCUGCACUGACACUGAGGGACGAAAGCUAGGGGAGCGAAUGGG